GAAGGGGUGACCCAGAAGAGGACGCCCUCAAGGUCCCCAAGGGAGCCCCCUGAGAGCUUCCCAGGGACAGGCUGGAGGCUGAGAUGCAGCCCUCACCUGGGCUUGCAUCACAGCCUGCGGGCACGGGGUGGGGCACCUCAUGCCCUUCUGAGCACCACGUGUCUGGUGGGUGCCCCACCCGCCCUGAUAACACGGGGGUCCGGGGGUCCUAAAGCCGGUCUGACCCCAAGUACCCGGGCCGGGUGGCUUGUGUCUUGUCGCCCCCAGCCCAUCCCCUCAGCCAGCUCGCCUGGGGCCACGAGACCCAGCCCCCAUCGACUAAGGGGGAAACUGAGAAGUUUCGUGAACUCCCUGGCCUCGGCCGCAUCCCGCCCUCUUCCCCACUCGGGCUUCAAAACUGCCCCUCCGACGCCCGCCCGUCCCAGGCCGACCUGGCCUAGGCGCCCGCCAGGCACAGGAGCCAAGGUCAGCCCCCGCGGCCGCCUCCUCCCAGCCCGUGGCGGCCACGGGAGUGGCGGGCUCGCGGCCGCGCGGCCGCGGCGUGGGGUGCGCUCCCAUUGGGCCGUGCCCCCACGUGACCCGGCGCGCCCCCGAGCCGGCGGAGCCGCGGCCGCGCCUGUGCGCCAGGGUGCGCGCGUCCCGAGCCCUCCGCCCGUCGUGCCGGCGCCGCCCGGACCGCCAGCGGUGUAUAUGCCUGCCGCCCUGCCCACGGCUUCUGUGUGUAGUGGAAGUGGCCCCAAGGUCCAGCCACCCUCAGGGACCACAGGCACAUGGUACUCAGCCGAACUCUGGAACCUUUCUGCAGAGCGAGCUUAGCUUGAGUCCUCCCACAGCCAGUGUGCCCACUGCCCACCCCUGCCCUCUCAGCCUCUGGGACAACUCCUUGGGCACUACCAGGUACAGUUCCUGUGUGUUCUCACCUUGCGAUGCGCUCAUAAUUCCCACGUUGUGCUGGUGACUAACGAGGUUUGGGGAGCUUGGGAGAGGGGCCCUGAGGCAUGCAGCAUGCAUGGGAGGGUUUUGGAGUUCCCAGGGGACAUCUGGGGUGGGGCUCAGCCAGGCCCAGUGGGCUCAAUGCUGGCCUCAUGCACUUCCCCCACUGUGGGUGAGGACCUUCGGGGACAGCCUCCUCCGGCCAGCAGGAGGGACCAUCAGGCAUGUAGACCUGUGGAGUGCUUGGGGGUCAGUUCCCACUCUGGGGUCAGCUGUGUCUGCGGAGGGUCCACUGGUGUGUGGCACAGGAGGGUUAGGGGCUGUGCCUGGUGCGCCAGAGAGGCCCUGAGCUCUCCUGGGGGCCAGAUUAGGGGCCUCCUCUGGGGCUGCUGGAGUCUUCACAUUCUUGGCAGGGCUCAGGCGCUGGGGUGAGGAGAGGCUCCCUCUCAGAGGCCAUGAGUGCCGAAUGGAACUCCAUGCCCUCUGGGACACCAUGCCCACUGCUGGGUACUGGCCUGUAUGGGCUUUGGAGACGUGGGUAGCACGGCAGCAGGAAUCAGCAGGGCGAAAUGGGGCCCAGGAGGAAGGCAGCAGGACUGUGGGCAUAAAGGCCUGAUGCCCAGGCCAGGGCAGGCUUCCAUGCCAGCUUCCUCCUGUCUGGAAUCCGGGAGCCGCAGGAUGCCCGACCCAGCACCCUGAACUCCAGAGUGACUGACUCUUGACAGAAGCUGCUGCUGGCAGAUGUGUUAUAACCAAGCUCUGUGGCGGGAGGCUGGGGGCAGGGAGGGGUAGGGCCAGCAGAACACGGCUCCCACCUGCCCAGGGCCAGGUGGGGCCAUGUGUGCGCAUGUGAGUGGGGCUCCUGAUCUGGCUGUGGCCUGGG
rnacentral:lncRNA from 13 species